rnacentral:rRNA from 1 species
UACGAAGGGGGCUAGCGUUGCUCGGAAUCACUGGGCGUAAAGCGCACGUAGGCGGCUUUUUAAGUCAGGGGUGAAAUCCUGGAGCUCAACUCCAGAACUGCGUUUGAUACUGGGAAGCUUGAGUCCGGGAGAGGUGAGUGGAACUCCGAGUGUAGAGGUGAAAUUCGUAGAUAUUCGGAAGAACACCAGUGGCGAAGGCGGCUCCCUGGCCCGGUACUGACGCUGAGGCGCGAAAGCUAGGGGAGCAAACGGG